rnacentral:rRNA from 1 species
GACGAACGCUGGCGGCGUGCUUAACACAUGCAAGUCGAACGGAAAGGCCCUGCUUUUGUGGGGUGCUCGAGUGGCGAACGGGUGAGUAACACGUGAGUAACCUGCCCUUGACUUUGGGAUAACUUCAGGAAACUGGGGCUAAUACCGGAUAGGAGCUCCUGCUGCAUGGUGGGGGUUGGAAAGUUUCGGCGGUUGGGGAUGGACUCGCGGCUUAUCAGCUUGUUGGUGGGGUAGUGGCUUACCAAGGCUUUGACGGGUAGCCGGCCUGAGAGGGUGACCGGCCACAUUGGGACUGAGAUACGGCCCAGACUCCUACGGGAGGCAGCAGUGGGGAAUAUUGCACAAUGGGCGGAAGCCUGAUGCAGCAACGCCGCGUGCGGGAUGACGGCCUUCGGGUUGUAAACCGCUUUCGCCUGUGACGAAGCGUGAGUGACGGUAACGGGUAAAGAAGCACCGGCUAACUACGUG